CCUUCUCUAAUCUAAUACUCUUGACCACAUUGUUUGGUAUGAUAGUUUAUUUAUUCAUGUUUACUAUCCAAUGUGAUUCGUGUGCUUAUAUGAUUUCCUUGAAUGUGAUUUGGAACGCAUUCCCUAAUCUCAUUCAUACUCUGGCCAGAGAUUCCAAAUCAUAUCAUAGAGUAUUCUUCCUCAACUGUUUGAAGGUUAGAGAUCCCUUGUUGCGCAUUCACUUGUCUCCAUAGCUAAGUGGCUUAACCCCAA
rnacentral:lncRNA from 1 species